UACAGAGGGGGCGAGCGUUGUUCGGAAUUACUGGGCGUAAAGGGCGCGUAGGCGGCCAACUAAGUCAGACGUGAAAUCCCUCGGCUCAACCGGGGAACUGCGUCUGAUACUGGAUGGCUUGAAUUCGGGAGAGGGAUGCGGAAUUCCAGGUGUAGCGGUGAAAUGCGUAGAUAUCUGGAGGAACACCGGUGGCGAAGGCGGCAUCCUGGACCGAGAUUGACGCUGAUGCGCGAAAGCCAGGGGAGCAAACGGG
rnacentral:rRNA from 2 species